UCAAAGAACGGUCGAUAUGUCAAAACAGUUUGGUUUCACCGUAUCAUGUUUUAAUAAUGUUACAGUCGCCGGUGAACUUUGCAGAAUUGCUUACCGAUAUCCAUGAAGUGGGCGUUAAAAAGGGGUCCAAAGGCAUAUUCGAUGGUUUUCUUGAUGGUGACAAAACAAAUCAACACUUGUAGUGGAUUUACUGGCCGCUAAUGUGCGCCGACAAUCAACUGAAGAUAUCGUACGUGAAAAUUAAGAAAUGAAGCAAAAGCUGAUGUGUACAGUGUGCCGUGACAAGGUCAGAUGCAUCGUGUUCCUACCUUGCUGCCAUCUAUUGGCAUGCGAACGAUGUGGCUAUCCAACAAACACCUGCAUGAAAUGAACACAAUUGUGAAGGAACACUUGAAGGUCAUACGAUCAGCUCAAGCUAAAUAGACGUGAACAUGUCUACAUUUAUGUUUUUAUUAUCAAUUAUUACUGCGUGUCGUUUGUUUAGAUAAUUUAAUUUUAUGAUGUAUCUCUUAAAGUUACAUGGGGUGUCAUAUCAAAUGCAAUGAAGUUUUUAGGUACAGACAUAGUCGUCAUUGUUGUCGAACUGUUACGAACAUUCAUUCGCCCCAUUAUAAUCAAUGUGUAACUCACAAAGCUGUUAAUUUUCUAUAUGGUGACUAAAAUAUUUUUAUGCGGUUUUAUAUGAAUAUAAAUGAACGGCUAUAUACAAACAUACACAUUUAAAAUGUUAAAGUUAAGUCAUUAAAUGCCGUGUAAUAACUGUUGUAUGCGCGACCUUUUACUGUGUAUCUCAUCAUGACAACAUACAGAAUAAUUCCAGUUAGCAGUUUUUAAUACUAUCACAUCUUCACAAAGUCUUUCAACGAUUCCUUUAACUUUAUGUAUUGUUUCAUUUUUUUGCAUGUUUUGUUGAAAUAUUUUCUUUAAGUUUAAAGCAAUAAUCAAUUUGCCAAUAUAACUCAUUGUAUUAGCAAUAUGUUCGUGUGUUUACAAACGCAUUAUAUUUAUAUGAAAUAAAAGUGUCAUUUGUUAUUAUUUGUUAUUUAAUUAAGUUGGUAUAUACAUUCUUCAUAUGAGAAAAUGUUCUUAUAUGGACGUGGUUGCUGUUUUUGCUUACAUACAUAUUUUUUUUGCAUUUUAUUCUAUAUUAAAUGAUGUACUGUAUAUAAUUGACUAUGUUGUGCUAUGUUGUA